rnacentral:rRNA from 1 species
AUAGAACGCCGGCGGCAUGCUUUACACAUGCAAGUCGAACGGUAACAGGGUGCUUGCACCGCUGACGAGUGGCGAACGGGUGAGUAAUGCGUCGGAACGUGCCGAGUAGUGGGGGAUAACGCAGCGAAAGUUGUGCUAAUACCGCAUACGUACUGAGGUAGAAAGUGGGGGACCUUCGGGCCUCACGCUAUUCGAGCGGCCGACGUCUGAUUAGCUAGUAGGUGAGGUAAAGGCUCACCUAGGCGACGAUCAGUAGCGGGUCUGAGAGGAUGAUCCGCCACACUGGGACUGAGACACGGCCCAGACUCCGACGGGAGGCAGCAGUGGGGAAUUUUGGACAAUGGGCGAAAGCCUGAUUCAGCCAUGCCGCGUGUCUGAAGAAGGACUUCGGGUUGUAAAGGACUUUUGUCAGGGAGGAAAUCCCUAGUGCUAAUAACACUGGGGGAUGACAGUACCUGAAGAAUAAGCACCGGCUAACUACGUGCCAGCAGCCGCGGUAA